rnacentral:rRNA from 1 species
UCCGAAUGGGGAAACCCAGUGUGAUUCGUCACACUAUCAUUAACUGAAUCCAUAGGUUAAUGAGGCGAACCGGGGGAACUGAAACAUCUAAGUACCCCGAGGAAAAGAAAUCAACCGAGAUUCCCCCAGUAGCGGCGAGCGAACGGGGAGCAGCCCAGAGCCUGAAUCAGUGUGUGUGUUAGUGGAAGCGUCUGGAAAGGCGCGCGAUACAGGGUGACAGCCCCGUACACAAAAAUGCACAUGCUGUGAGCUCGAUGAGUAGGGCGGGACACGUGGUAUCCUGUCUGAAUAUGGGGGGACCAUCCUCCAAGGCUAAAUACUCCUGACUGACCGAUAGUGAACCAGUACCGUGAGGGAAAGGCGAAAAGAACCCCGGCGAGGGGAGUGAAAAAGAACCUGAAACCGUGUACGUACAAGCAGUGGGAGCACGCUUAGGCGUGUGACUGCGUACCUUUUGUAUAAUGGGUCAGCGACUUAUAUUCUGUAGCAAGGUUAACCGAAUAGGGGAGCCGAAGGGAAACCGAGUCUUAACUGGGCGUUAAGUUGCAGGGUAUAGACCCGAAACCCGGUGAUCUAGCCAUGGGCAGGUUGAAGGUUGGGUAACACUAACUGGAGGACCGAACCGACUAAUGUUGAAAAAUUAGCGGAUGACUUGUGGCUGGGGGUGAAAGGCCAAUCAAACCGGGAGAUAGCUGGUUCUCCCCGAAAGCUAUUUAGGUAGCGCCUCGUGAAUUCAUCUCCGGGGGUAGAGCACUGUUUCGGCAAGGGGGUCAUCCCGACUUACCAACCCGAUGCAAACUGCGAAUACCGGAGAAUGUUAUCACGGGAGACACACGGCGGGUGCUAACGUCCGUCGUGAAGAGGGAAACAACCCAGACCGCCAGCUAAGGUCCCAAAGUCAUGGUUAAGUGGGAAACGAUGUGGGAAGGCCCAGACAGCCAGGAUGUUGGCUUAGAAGCAGCCAUCAUUUAAAGAAAGCGUAAUAGCUCACUGGUCGAGUCGGCCUGCGCGGAAGAUGUAACGGGGCUAAACCAUGCACCGAAGCUGCGGCAGCGACGCUGAUGCGUUGUUGGGUAGGGGAGCGUUCUGUAAGCCUGUGAAGGUGUGCUGUGAGGCAUGCUGGAGGUAUCAGAAGUGCGAAUGCUGACAUAAGUAACGAUAAAGCGGGUGAAAAGCCCGCUCGCCGGAAGACCAAGGGUUCCUGUCCAACGUUAAUCGGGGCAGGGUGAGUCGACCCCUAAGGCGAGGCCGAAAGGCGUAGUCGAUGGGAAACAGGUUAAUAUUCCUGUACUUGGUGUUACUGCGAAGGGGGGACGGA